AAACUAAUCGUCGAGAGUCGAGAAACCUGCCUAUUUUCCUCGAAGAUAUAGAAGACCGAGGGCCAUCCAACAAACUGAACCAGGACUCCUGCUAAAGGCAUGGCAAUCACAGCACCUGCAUAGGAACCUGGAAACAAGGAAAGGGAAAUAUGACCAUGCCACUGUUGUAGUGCUGUUCUGUCUGGUGUGGAAUGGGACUCCAUCUAAAGGAAACCCCAAUAAAAUUAUUAAAUAGUGAUGCCAAGGUAUCACAACGAUCCGGAGAGUCUCAAGGAAGGAGAUCAUUAGCAGUGGGAAGGCCUAACCUGUUGGCAGCCAGCUUGUUGGAGAUGAAGCCUCCAGGGAUCUGUGUGACGAUGUAACCCCAGAAGAAAGAGCCAUGGAUCAGUCCCACAGUCUCUGGGUCCCAGUUGAAUUGAGCUGGCUGGGGAACAGAGUAAUAUAAUAUAGGGUAUUUAACUGGUUACAAGUUCUUUCACAUAAAAAAGUGUGUCUGUGUGUGUUGGUGUGUGAAUGUGUGUGUGUCGGUUGCUAUUGUGUUGUUUGAGAUUGAAAAUAGAGCCAGAGGACUGUUUGGGUGAUUCUGCUGUCCUUCAGAACAACGCUUGAACUUUUCCAUCCAAAUAUCAGCUGUUGAAUUGCAAUGCUACUAUAAUAAAACAUAAAACAACAUUCAA